AGAGGCGAUGAAGGGCGUGCUAAUCUGCGAUAAGCGCCGGUAAGGUGAUAUGAACCGUUAUAACCGGCGAUACCCGAAUGGGGAAACCCAGUGUGAUUCGUCACACUAUCAUUAACUGAAUCCAUAGGUUAAUGAGGCGAACCGGGGGAACUGAAACAUCUAAGUACCCCGAGGAAAAGAAAUCAACCGAGAUUCCCCCAGUAGCGGCGAGCGAACGGGGAGGAGCCCAGAGCCUGAAUCAGCAUGUGUGUUAGUGGAAGCGUCUGGAAAGGCGCGCGAUACAGGGUGACAGCCCCGUACACAAAAGCGCAUGUGCUGUGAGCUCGAUGAGUAGGGCGGGACACGUGGUAUCCUGUCUGAAUAUGGGGGGACCAUCCUCCAAGGCUAAAUACUCCUGACUGACCGAUAGUGAACCAGUACCGUGAGGGAAAGGCGAAAAGAACCCCGGCGAGGGGAGUGAAAAAGAACCUGAAACCGUGUACGUACAAGCAGUGGGAGCACAGGUUUACCUGUGUGACUGCGUACCUUUUGUAUAAUGGGUCAGCGACUUAUAUUCUGUAGCAAGGUUAACCGAAUAGGGGAGCCGGAGGGAAACCGAGUCUUAAUUGGGCGUUAAGUUGCAGGGUAUAGACCCGAAACCCGGUGAUCUAGCCAUGGGCAGGUUGAAGGUUGGGUAACACUAACUGGAGGACCGAACCGACUAAUGUUGAAAAAUUAGCGGAUGACCUGUGGCUGGGGGUGAAAGGCCAAUCAAACCGGGAGAUAGCUGGUUCUCCCCGAAAGCUAUUUAGGUAGCGCCUCGUGAAUUCAUCUCCGGGGGUAGAGCACUGUUUCGGCUAGGGGGCCAUCCCGGCUUACCAACCCGAUGCAAACUGCGAAUACCGGAGAAUGUUAUCACGGGAGACACACGGCGGGUGCUAACGUCCGUCGUGAAGAGGGAAACAACCCAGACCGCCAGCUAAGGUCCCAAAGUCAUGGUUAAGUGGGAAACGAUGUGGGAAGGCCCAGACAGCCAGGAUGUUGGCUUAGAAGCAGCCAUCAUUUAAAGAAAGCGUAAUAGCUCACUGGUCGAGUCGGCCUGCGCGGAAGAUGUAACGGGGCUAAACCAUGCACCGAAGCUGCGGCAGCGACACUGUGUGUUGUUGGGUA
rnacentral:rRNA from 1 species